AAUCAGUCGUAUACACUGAAAUGACGGGAGCGCUUGAUUUCACAUUGAAAACACCUGAAAAUGAAAAGAAAUAAAUACAUAUAGUAUAUGGAAUUAGCGAUAAUUGAAUAAAACAAACUUCAAGAUGUCGGUUUUAUACAAAGGGAAUGAAAAAAUGUACAUCGGAUUAAAUAUUGGAUUCAGUGUGAUGAUCGGGAUAAUCAUCGUAUUAUGUAUUGUAUGGAGACGCCUCUGUAUUAAAACAAAUAAUAUGAUUCAACAGAGGCAACUACAAGCCCACGAAAGAAAUCGUGCCUGGGGAGACGAUGGCAAGCCUGUGAAAAAGAGCUACACAGCAAAGAAAGAAAAUAAUUUCUAUAAUGACAAUAUACAUAACAAUAUACAUAGCAAUAUACAUAACAGCGUGGUUAUAGAAGAAGGAAAAGUGCAAAUGAAUGAGGCUGAGUUCUUACAAAAAUAUAUAUAGUUCAAAUCCUGUACUUUAAAGAGUUCUAAAUUCAAAUUCCAACGUUCUUCUUUUGGUUCUCUCUUUGCAUUGCACCACUAACGUAUUUGAUUACAUUCAUUUAAAUUCCUUUUGUUCAAUUUGAACAAUAUAUCAAGAAUUUUUAUCCUGAGGUAACCAGUCAGAAUUGACAAUUGUAAAAAUUAUUUUGUGCUUAUUUUGCAUUGCAUUCCAUUAGGUUUGUGUUUAUCUUGAAAUUGUGGUUUAACCUUAAUGGUGUUUGUUUAAAACUCGUAUUGUUUAUCGAUAUAACUUUUAUUGAAAGACAUGUUUAAAUCUAACAGUGAUUUAUCAUUGUAAUUGCAUUUGACGAGAAUUGGAAAGCAUUCAUAGCCUAACGCAUGGCAUCUUAUUUCAAAAUAUAUUUGUUAAUAAAAACGGUUUCCUUUGUCUUAUGUUACACAGAAGAUAUAGAUCUGGGUUUAGUUUGACCUUUUUUCAUUUGAUCAUCAAAACACUAAGCUUCUGUCCCUUCAACUAAUAUAUAAAAUGUAUUAAUUGUUCAAACAAACACAUCUUGAUAUUUUCAAAAUAUUAACUGGCAGAUUAAUAGAGGCAAAAGAGAGACCAUAUCGUACUUUCUAUUUCGAUAACUGUAUAGCAUUCCAUGUACGACUUGUUGAAGUGGAUUAUUUUGCUACUUAGAUAUUUACUUGCUGUUUGCCUCCUUGCAGAAAAAAGUAGAUAGUUAAAAUAAUUUUAUCUUUUUAAACAUUUUUCAAAGAUAGUUUAGGAAUUUAGGGAAAAGUCUAGACUUUAACAGUACUUACAGCUCUUUUCAUAAUGCUAGCAAGACAAAGUUUUGUUUGACUUGCUUGCUUUGUUUGUAUAAAUGUUUGCUCAAGCAUUGUAAUUAAGAUUGACAUCUGCAAACAAUAUAAGCAGGCGUAGUUAAACCUGUGUAUAGGUAAAUUUGAUUAUGUGAUAAUGUCCAAUCAAAUUUAAAUAUAAUGUAUACAAGUUUAAAUCCGCCUUUUUAUGUUGUUUUCAGAUGUCAAUCUUAAUUACAAUGCUCGAUCAAACACUGAUACAAACAAAGUAAGCAAGCCAAACAAACCUUUGUCUUGCUAGCAUUAUGAAAAGAGCUGUAAUCAAAAAUAAAUCUGGACUUAACAAUGAUUAACCAAAUAUUUCCAAUAAAUAUAUUAGGGUAGGCAUGAAAAGUUAAGGUAGGUAGGGAAAUACGACUAGAUUAUUUUGCCUUAUAUUUAUGUUUAAAUUGGUUGGAGUUGUACAUCAUAAUGUUAUAUUAUCAAAUGUUUGCUGCUUUAAUUUCAUGUCAACACGCUUGUCAUCGCGAAUUUUGAUUUGUUUUGUUGUUGGAUUCCAAUGUUUUUCUACUUUUUAUUCCACUGACCGUUAGUUCGAGUUACGGUCACUACAAUAAAGAUAUAACAUGUUAAAUUACAUGUACGACUUUUUAACAAACUAUUAUAUUUAAUACUUAGUCCACUCUUUGACCUGUUUUAUAUUCAUAAUUUUAUGUCAAUCAUUAAGAAGGUUAACCUUAAUUUUGUAAUAACUAUGUGAUCUGUGAUAUUCGGUAUGUUAACAUUGUCUUUCAUGUACAUGUAUUGUGCGAUCUCUAAAAUAAAAGUUGUUUAUCGA